CAGAACGUAGCUAAAAUAGCAAAGCACCUCCCUUACACCGAGGAAAUAUCCGUGCAAUUCGGAUCAUUCUGA
rnacentral:tRNA from 1 species